CUAGUCCAUCUUGGCUGUUCUAAGAAGUUAAGCUGAACUAGCCUUGGUACUAUUUGAAUGAGAGACCACCUGCAAAUCUUGGUGUUGACUAGA
rnacentral:rRNA from 1 species